rnacentral:rRNA from 1 species
UAGGGAAUCUUCCGCAAUGGGCGAAAGCCUGACGGAGCAACGUCGCGUGAGUGAUGAAGGUCUUCGGAUCGUAAAACUCUGUUAUUAGGGAAGAACAAAUGUGUAAGUAACUAUGCACGUCUUGACGGUACCUAAUCAGAAAGCCACGGCUAACUACGUGCCAGCAGCCGCGGUAAUACGUAGGUGGCAAGCGUUAUCCGGAAUUAUUGGGCGUAAAGCGCGCGUAGGCGGUUUUUUAAGUCUGAUGUGAAAGCCCACGGCUCAACCGUGGAGGGUCAUUGGAAACUGGAAAACUUGAGUGCAGAAGAGGAAAGUGGAAUUCCAUGUGUAGCGGUGAAAUGCGCAGAGAUAUGGAGGAACACCAGUGGCGAAGGCGACUUUCUGGUCUGUAACUGACGCUGAUGUGCGAAAGCGUGGGGAUCAAACAGG